GCAGGUUAACUGACCUGGCGGAUCACACAGCUAGAAGUGUCACAGCCAAGAUCUGAAUGCUCAGAAUCACCAUAGAGCUAUAUACUCUAUUGUCCCACAGCCCAUUGUGAUGCGAGCUAGCAGAAGAGAGAACAGAGAUCCUUUCUAGUAUGGGGCAGUGUGAACGGUGGAGAGUAGAUGGUGAUCACAGGUCACCUCAGUCAGAAGGUGGCCAUCCAGGCAGAAGUGUUUAAGAGGAACAGGAGGUCUCUGGAUGAAGACAGAGGAGGGCCCCUCAGGCUAAGAGAACAGCAUGAGAUAAAGCACGAAGAGUCCGCCUCCAAAUCCCACAGAAAGAAGAGCUCCCCUGGGAAAGCAGCUGUCCACACCCCAAAUUAAAGUGGCCAGCGCUCCCAGCAACAUGUCCCAUCACCCUGCAAGCCCCAGGUCUACGAGCAGAAAGGCCAUUCGCUCUGUCAAUAAGGAUGUACUCACGGAUCCUGUUCUACUGUUGGCUGCAAAGGCUUUCUGCGUGCCAUGUACCAAUUUUUCAGAAUCACCACCCACCUCCUGGCCUGAACCAUGAGGCUGCUAGUUCUCAUCCCCAGGGGAGUCUUCAAGCAACGAACAGCACUACUCAGAGGGCCAAGGCACCCAAGCCCUAAGCCCAGGUCAGCCCACUCCUUAAGAUUUUGGGAAAAUCAGUUCUCUUGGGGUUUAUAUUCUUUCAUCUACAAACUGGGUCAAUAUCACAAAACUGUCCAACUACAUGUGCUAAAAGCAGCUUCUACUUGGUGUAUCCAAAGAGUCACAGCACCCUUAUUCUGAUUACUUGUUUUAUCUUUUGGCGAACAUGCCAUAAAUACCUGAAAAGCAGCAAGCAUUUCUUAUUUAUUGCGUGUUUAAGAAAUGAACACAAAUAUAAGUGAUUAUUAAAUGAGGUAGGGAAACAGGAUCAGAGAACCUUCCGGCACAUGCCAGAAUCAUAACUCAGCACAGAAUUCCGGCCACUGCGGUCCUCCCCAGAGGUCCCAGAGGCAGUCUGAGGAGGGUAAAAGGAUGAUCCUCGUUUGUAACUGAGAAGACUGGACAUGGAGCCCUGUGACUUGUGGUUCUGUAGAAAGACUGUCAUCCUGUCAGGAGCUCAGAGUCCCUUCCAAUAUUCCAGCAGGAACAUAACCAGCAGAGGGAAAAGACAUUCCAUGGAAAAUAGCUGCCCACAGAUGGCCUGGGAACUCUGGAAACCAGGGAGUAAGCAGACUGCAGAGAUAGGUAUGAAAACCAAGAACAAAGAGUCUAUGUUACCCUCCAUUUUGCAAAAAAUAGCACUUGGAGAUCAGCUUCCAUAUUCACAAAAGGGCCCCUCAUUCCUUAACGUAUGUGUGCCUCUCUUCCUCUUGACCACUGCGAACCACUGGCUCUGGGAUCUUGAGAGGAGAGAAGACCACUAAGCCCGAUGUCCCGCCUGAUUAUAAAUCCCCCCCCUCCCAUGGUGUCCACGACAUCUCCAGUGAGGUGGCGACCAUCAUCUCUUACAGCUGCAAAUUCCAUCUUUCCAACAGAAAGUUCUUCCUUAUACGGAAACCAAGUCCGGCUCCUGGCUUUCCCGUGCCUCAUUCUGCCUCUUCGAACCAUAUGAACAACCGAUGUCUGUUCCAUUGGCUUGGAAUUUUUGUAGGUGAAUCCGGAUACAGAAACGAAGCUGCCCAAGAUCUCAACCCUGAGUCACUCCGGCCGUUUCCUGACCAUAUCACCCUGCUCGCUCCUAAUGUAUCUGGUGCCACCUUGAAAUCCAUCCUUUUCAGGCUUCUCUAGGAAGUACUAUUGCUAAGCGAUCCAUUCUGCACAUGGAUGGACACCUGGCCUUGUGGACUCACAAGAUGUGCCCUGUGAAAUCCCAGUCCCUGAGAAAUGAGAGGAGAGACAUCUUCGAGACCAUUUCUUCGGCCACAUUCCCACCAUUUGUGGACAGAGCUCAGGGAUGUGGAUCCCAUUCCCGGCUCCCCAUUCCUGGUCUCCUGUCCUGCCAGACCUAGCAUUGUCUCCAGGAUACAUGGCUGUUCCAAGGAACAUUAACAGAGAGCUCUGCAGGAAAAGAGGGCCUUGCCAACUCAAACGCUCUCAGAAUAAUAACCAAGCAGCCUGCAGGCAGGACAGCAGUGCCAGCUUGCUGAUCGCAGGGCUGGGAGCUCGUGAUCCCUGACUAACUACCCCAGCACCAUUCUGGACUUCAUUGUCUUUACAAAUCGGGGGAAAAAAUGUUCUUUUGUACUGCAGUUCUGAUGGCACGGCUUGGAGUCAGGGCACAUGCAGCAAUGAUGCCUCACAUUAGCAACAUGCUUUACUAGUUGAUAAAUGCUUUCCCAGACAGUCUCAUUUAAUCCCUACUGGCAACUCCACUGGGAGUAUUGUACCCAAUUACGUGACAGGAAAACUGAGGCUCAGAGAGGCGAAGUAUAUUCCUAAAGUCACACCAACAGUAAGUAAUUAGAGGAACGCUGGUUUAGAAGUUAGACGACUAACAGUUCCAACUCUGCUAAGUACUAACUGUAUGACCCCUGGCCAACUUUAACUUUCCUAAGCCUCAGUUUCUACACCUGAAAAUUAGAGAUUAAAAUAGCCCUUCUGCCUCCUCCCAGAGCAGUUACGAGGAUCAAAUGAGAUAAUGAGACUUAAAACCCUCUGGAAAACGGGAAGGCGUUCCAAAAGUGUAAGGGAUUAUUGUGUGAUUACUUGUAAAUGACUGUGCAUUCCAUUACAAAUACAAAAAAGCAGUGAGGUCAUCCUCGAGACAAAGAAACAUUAAGACUCUGGGAACGAAAGGGAAAUGAUUUGAUGUUCUACAGGUUUCUGUGUGCUUCUCACUGGUAGCUGAACCUCAGCAUCAACUGUCAGAUUUUCAGCCGCCAGGUCGCAUGUGCCAACAGGACUCUCAAGACAGUGCUCCUUUUUCAGCUACAAGCGAAUGCCGGCCCGAAAGGAGGUAAUGGAGAGAGGGAUGUCUGGGAGACCCUCCGAGAGUCUCAGUUCCGGAAACAUGACCUACGACGUUCUCCUUGGAGGAGUUGUUAGAAAUACAGGCUCCAGUCCCUCUGCAAUAAGCCCACAGGGAAAUAAACGUACAGGAACGAGCUAUUUACCAGAGAGCACUGAGGAGGUUCCCAAGCAUGAAUUAAUCAAGGACACAGGGUAUUUCAAGCUGCAGACACCAAAAAGAUGGAAAUCAGCAAACCAUUAAACAUCCGAACACAUCUCACAGAGGCUCAACCUGGAAUGCGUGCAGCCCAGGCAACGGAGAGGUGUGCCUGCGUACCAGAGCUCCCGCUGCAGAUCACGUGGGGGCGGAGGGGACCCAGGAAGCUCGGAGAGCACAGCCACUGGUCUGGUGUCCUUCAGGCCCCUGCCAACACGCUGGUCAUCAGGAUGCUCCUCAGUGUCUGCAAAGGUCCAAGUCAUCAACGUCGUGCCUGGGAAGGGCCAGAUCUGCCCCAGAAAUCCAUGCCCAAGGCUGAUGAGCACACAGCUCAGUGAUGAUUAUUUCCUGGUUUGCACCUUAUCAUCUCCUUCCUUGUGCUUCACAUUGGAGACAGGCACUAAAUAAAUUUAUCACAGAGGUGUGUGCAUACCUA